CGGUAGCUCGUCAGGCUCAUAACCUGAAGGUCGCAGGUUCAAAUCCUGCUCCCGCAACCA
rnacentral:tRNA from 1 species